AGCGAACGCUGGCGGCAGGCCUAACACAUGCAAGUCGAACGAAGCCUUCGGGCUUAGUGGCGGACGGGUGAGUAACACGUCGGAACGUACCUUUUGGUUCGGAACAACUCAGGGAAACUUGAGCUAAUACCGGAUGAGCCCUUAGGGGGCAAGAUUUAUCGCCGAAAGAGCGGCCCGCGUUAGAUUAGCUAGGUGGUGGGGUAAAGGCUCACCAAGGCAACGAUCUAUAGCAGGUCUGAGAGGAUGAUCAGCCACACUGGGACUGCGACACGGCCCAGACUCCGACGAGAGGCAGCAAUGGGGGAGAUUGCCGAAUGGUCGCAAGCAUGACGCAGUCAGGCAGCAUGAAGGAUGAAGGUCGUAUGUUUGUAAAAUUCUUUCAGAAGGCACGGUAAUGACGGUACCUGGAGAAAAAACGCCGGCUAACUCCCGGCCAGCCGCCGCCGGAAAAC
rnacentral:rRNA from 1 species